rnacentral:lncRNA from 1 species
CUAUAUUUAUGAUUAGAUUUAGUACAUUGUUAUACUUUGACCUAAUGUGUAUGAAAAUAUUUGCAUUGUAUAUAUAAAUAUUCUGAAUUUAGUAAGGAUAUGGCCUAUGAUUUGAAAGAUAUAGUGGAACAUUAUUUUCGUAUAUAAGGUUAAGAAUACUUGGUCUUUGGGAAAAUCAUAGCUUUUGCCUGUGUUAGCUUGUACUAAAAAUGUUUACAAGGAUAGGGCCUAAUGAUUGCCAAAACUUUUUUAACAAAUGUGUUGUGAUAUCAUUUCUUCCUUAGCUUUAAUUGGGUUUUUAAAAUUAUUUACUGCUAGUGAUAAUUCUUCUAUUGUAACAUAUUCUUCGCACGUCUGACAUUCAUGUUCUGAUGAAUUAUUAUUUACUUCGGUGCUGUAAAUAUAUUCCAAUGAUAGGGCAAUAUUUUCGUUUCUUUUGAAUAUAGUCUUUUGUAAGAUUUCAUUUCAAUUUGAAGUAUUUCAAUUGAUCUGUAAUAAUCUUUCUUUGGUGAUCUGUUAAUAUGUUGGGGUUUUUUUUUUGUAUUUUUUUUUUUUUUUUGGGGGGGGGGGGGUUGUUUGUUGUUUAUUUUAGACCUAAAAAGUAUGCUGUAUUUUUGUCGCCUUGUUCUUCCCAAUCUUGUUUCGGUCUUCAUUGGGCGCC